rnacentral:rRNA from 1 species
GACGAACGCUGGCGGCGUGCCUAAUACAUGCAAGUCGAGCGAGCGGAACUAACAGAUUUACUUCGGUAAUGACGUUAGGAAAGCGAGCGGCGGAUGGGUGAGUAACACGUGGGGAACCUGCCCCAUAGUCUGGGAUACCACUUGGAAGCAGGUGCUAAUACCGGAUAAGAAAGCAGAUCGCAUGAUCAGCUUUUAAAAGGCGGCGUAAGCUGUCGCUAUGGGAUGGCCCCGCGGUGCAUUAGCUAGUUGGUAAGGUAAAGGCUUACCAAGGCGAUGAUGCAUAGCCGAGUUGAGAGACUGAUCGGCCACAUUGGGACUGAGACACGGCCCAAACUCCUACGGGAGGCAGCAGUAGGGAAUCUUCCACAAUGGACGCAAGUCUGAUGGAGCAACGCCGCGUGAGUGAAGAAGGUUUUCGGAUCGUAAAGCUCUGUUGUUGGUGAAGAAGGAUAGAGGUAGUAACUGGCCUUUAUUUGACGGUAAUCAACCAGAAAGUCACGGCUAACUACGUGCCAGCAGCCGCGGUAAUACGUAGGUGGCAAACGUUGUCCGGAUUUAUUGGGCGUAAAGCGAGCGCAGGCGGAAGAAUAAGUCUGAUGUGAAAGCCCUCGGCUUAACCGAGGAACUGCAUCGGAAACUGUUUUUCUUGAGUGCAGAAGAGGAGAGUGGAACUCCAUGUGUAGCGGUGGAAUGCGUAGAUAUAUGGAAGAACACCAGUGGCGAAGGCGGCUCUCUGGUCUGCAACUGACGCUGAGGCUCGAAAGCAUGGGUAGCGAACAGGAUUAGAUACCCUGGUAGUCCAUGCCGUAAACGAUGAGUGCUAAGUGUUGGGAGGUUUCCGCCUCUCAGUGCUGCAGCUAACGCAUUAAGCACUCCGCCUGGGGAGUACGACCGCAAGGUUGAAACUCAAAGGAAUUGACGGGGGCCCGCACAAGCGGUGGAGCAUGUGGUUUAAUUCGAAGCAACGCGAAGAACCUUACCAGGUCUUGACAUCUAGUGCCAUUUGUAGAGAUACAAAGUUCCCUUCGGGGACGCUAAGACAGGUGGUGCAUGGCUGUCGUCAGCUCGUGUCGUGAGAUGUUGGGUUAAGUCCCGCAACGAGCGCAACCCUUGUUAUUAGUUGCCAGCAUUAAGUUGGGCACUCUAAUGAGACUGCCGGUGACAAACCGGAGGAAGGUGGGGAUGACGUCAAGUCAUCAUGCCCCUUAUGACCUGGGCUACACACGUGCUACAAUGGGCAGUACAACGAGAAGCGAGCCUGCGAAGGCAAGCGAAUCUCUGAAAGCUGUUUUCAGUUCGGACUGCAGUCUGCAACUCGACUGCACGAAGCUGGAAUCGCUAGUAAUCGCGGAUCAGCACGCCGCGGUGAAUACGUUCCCGGGCCU